UACCAGCACCCCGAGUUGGUCGGGACGAUCAUUGGGCCUAAAGCAUCCGUAGCCGGUUGUGCAAGUCCUCCGUUAAAUCCAGCCGCUCAACGGAUGGGCUGCGGAGGAUACUACAGAACUAGGAGGCGGGAGAGGCAAGCGGUACUUAGUGGGUAGGGGUAAAAUCCUUUGAUCCAUUGAAGACCACCAGUGGCGAAGGCGGCUUGCCAGAACGCGCUCGACGGUGAGGGAUGAAAGCUGGGGGAGCAAACCGGAUUAGAUACCCGGGUAGUCCCAGCUGUAAACGAUGCAGACUCGGUGAUGGGCUAGCCUCGUGUCAGCCCAGUGCCGCAGGGAAGCCGUUAAGUCUGCCGCCUGGGGAGUACGGUCGCAAGACUGAAACUUAAAGGAAUUGGCAGGGGAGCACCACAAGGGGUGAAGCCUGCGGUUC
rnacentral:rRNA from 1 species